rnacentral:lncRNA from 1 species
UAUCAGGAGUAAAGUUAUUUUUACAAGGACUCAUCUCAGAAAGGGGAAAACUCCAAUCCAAAAGGCAGCUGUGAGAUCCAGCACACGCUGAGUGCACCAGGAGAGGGCAGCAACCCUCACACGUGUCAGCCUCACCAGUUCUCUCCACUGAAACCGUCUCCACCAUCAGGAAAUAGAACGAUGAUGAAAAAAAAGUACUUUCCUGCCUUACCUUGCCGUUGUAAACAGUGCCUUUUCAUUGACUGGGACUGGAUAAUUGGACUACCAUGUCUGAGGACAAAGUAGCUUUCUUAUAACUGUCCCCAGAGGAGAAGGUGGGGCAGGGAUUUUGAGCAGCUGUUCCUCCUGAAGCUUGGAUAGAGGAGCUGAGAGUACCUUAUAAUGGAUUUUUCUUCUGCUCCUCUAAAAGUGGGGUUGGAGUUACUCAAAGCAAAUAAAAGUUACUUCCUAUUUGGCAAAUCUUGUCUUUGCUUCUAGGCAAAUUCUCAGAGCAAACUGUAAUUGAGUCCAGCAGCCUG